CUUAGUUGCUACGCAAGAGCACUCUAAGGAGACUGCCGGUGACAAACCGGAGGAAGGUGGGGAUGACGUCAAGUCCUCAUGGCCCUUAUGGGUAGGGCUUCACACGUCAUACAAUGGUCGGUACAGAGGGGUUGCCAAGCCGCGAGGUGGAGCCAAUCCCACAAAGCCGAUCGUAGUCCGGAUUGUUCUCUGCAACUCGAGAGCAUGAAGUCGGAAUCGCUAGUAAUCGCAGGUCAGCAUACUGCGGUGAAUACGUUCCCGGGUCUU
rnacentral:rRNA from 1 species